GACGAACCGUGCGAACGUUGUUCGGAAUCACUGGGCUUAAAGGGCGCGUAAGCGGCCGGGUUGGUCGUGGGUGAAAUCCCCCAGCUUAACUGGGGAAUUGCCUACGAUACUGCCUGGCUCGAGGGAGGAAGGGGCGGCCGGAACUGUCGGUGGAGCGGUGAAAUGCGUUGAGAUCGACAGGAACGCCGGUGGCGAAAGCGGGCCGCUGGCCCUCUUCUGACGCUGAUGCGCGAAAGCCAGGGGAGCGAACGGG
rnacentral:rRNA from 1 species